UCAAAUGAAUUGACGGGGGCCCGCACAAGCGGUGGAGCAUGUGGUUUAAUUCGAUGCAACGCGAAGAACCUUACCUGGUCUUGACAUCCACAGAACUUUCCAGAGAUGGAUUGGUGCCUUCGGGAACUGUGAGACAGGUGCUGCAUGGCUGUCGUCAGCUCGUGUUGUGAAAUGUUGGGUUAAGUCCCGCAACGAGCGCAACCCUUAUCCUUUGUUGCC
rnacentral:rRNA from 2 species